rnacentral:rRNA from 1 species
UACGGAGGAUCCAAGCGUUAUCCGGAAUCAUUGGGUUUAAAGGGUCCGUAGGCGGUUUUGUAAGUCAGUGGUGAAAGCCCAUCGCUCAACGGUGGAACGGCCAUUGAUACUGCAAGACUUGAAUUAUUGGGAAGUAACUAGAAUAUGUAGUGUAGCGGUGAAAUGCUUAGAGAUUACAUGGAAUACCAAUUGCGAAGGCAGGUUACUACCAAUAUAUUACGCUGAUGGACGAAAGCGUGGGGAGCGAACAGG